AACCAAAUUCCUUCAGGCCAUCUUUUUUUUUCACAUCCAACUAAUUCCAAUGCCCCCACUUCCUUUCUCUCCACCAUUCCUUGAUCCCUAUAACAAAUCUCAACCCUCCAUCCUUAAGAGCCCUUACAUACUUACUUAAUAAGCCCUAGCCAUCUAUUUCUAGUCUAUUAAUCCCAUAUUGCCUAAUCAAAUAAAUCUUCAUGCUACCUACACCUAUAAAUAAGUUCCAACACUUCCACCUAGAAUCCAUCCAUUCAUCUAAUAAAUCCAAUCUCCAAUCUCCUAUCUCUCUUCCAUCUAUCUAUAACCUCUUCUUCAACAUUCCAAUUAGAAAGAAGAUGAAGGGAGUGAUGGCGAGUAAAAUCAACAUUAUGAGUGGCUAAAACUCUUCCAUCUCGAAGAAGAGAUGACUUCUUUUGUAAAUCAGAUUUGCUUUUUCUUAUUCUAUCUUUUAUGUACUCUUUUUCAUACAUAGAAUAAAAGAUUUUUUUUUUAAUAUAUACUUGUGCUUCUAUUUGAUGUGAAUGAUUAAAUCAAUAAUCUAGACAAUCUAUCUCCUUUGGAGACGCACCGUGAUCCAAAGGAUACGGUGCAUGCUCAAGAAAGAAAUAGGUUGUCUUAAGAUUUUAUCUCUUAUCGUUUCUUUAUAAAGCUUCUUGGGAUAAUCUAUGCUCAUAAAGAGAUGAGCCGUGAUCUAAAGGAUACGAUCCGUACUCAGAUAGAGAUAGAUUAUACUCAAAGGCCAUUGAUAAUAAGCCACCC
rnacentral:lncRNA from 1 species